rnacentral:rRNA from 1 species
UACGAACGCUGGCGGCGUGCUUAACACAUGCAAGUCGAACGGAAAGGCCCUGCUUUUGUGGGGUGCUCGAGUGGCGAACGGGUGAGUAACACGUGAGUAACCUGCCCUUGACUUUGGGACAACUUCAGGAAACUGGGGCUAAUACCGGAUAGGAGCUCCUGCUGCAUGGUGGGGGUUGGAAAGUUUCGGCGGUUGGGGAUGGACUCGCGGCUUAUCAGCUUGUUGGUGGGGUAGUGGCUUACCAAGGCUUUGACGGGUAGCCGGCCUGAGAGGGUGACCGGCCACAUUGGGACUGAGAUACGGCCCAGACUCCUACGGGAGGCAGCAGUGGGGAAUAUUGCACAAUGGGCGGAAGCCUGAUGCAGCAACGCCGCGUGCGGGAUGACGGCCUUCGGGUUGUAAACCGCUUUCGCCUGUGACGAAGCGUGAGUGACGGUAAUGGGUAAAGAAGCACCGGCUAACUACGUG